AUUGAACGCUGGCGGCAGGCCUAACACAUGCAAGUCGAACGAGUGGCGGACGGGUGAGUAAUGUCUGGGCAACUGCCUGAUGGAGGGGGAUAACUACUGGAAACGGUAGCUACUACCGCAUACCAUCAGAUGUGCCCAGAUUGGAUUAGCUAGUUGGUGGGGUAACGGCUCACCAAGGCGACGAUCCCUAGCGGGUCGGAGAGGAUGACCAGCCACACUGGAACUGAGACACGGCCCAGACUCCUACGGGAGGCAGCAGUGGGGAAUAUUGCACAAUGGGCGAAAGCCUGAUGCAGCCAUGCCGCGUGUGUGAAGAAGGUUUUCGGGUUGUAAAGCUCUGUCAGCGGGGAGGCGUUACCCACAGAGAAAGCACCGGCUAACUCCGUGCCAGCAGCCGCGGUAAUUC
rnacentral:rRNA from 1 species